AUCCCUGGAAAUCAUGCACUGUUAUAUUUUCAAGAAACACGAGGGCAACUUCAAAUCCAGUAAUUGCUGAUCUUAAAGCUUUUUCAAAAGACAAAUGUAAUGGCAAAAAAGAUUUACCUAGCAUAUAAUUGACGUGCAUCUGUCACUUGAAAAGAUAAUUUCUAAUAAAAUAAAAUCAGCAUUUAUAUUUGCUAUCAUCUUCAAGUUAUAUAAGUCACAGUUUAACCAUUUUUUCUGUCUACAAUUUCUUUGCCACAUCUCCUAUUGCAUCAUCUUUUAAUCUCUGUUUAUUGCAAGAGUUAGUCUCAACCAGAAGGUAUACCUCUAAAAUAAAUUUAGCUUCUAUUGCUGGUUCUUCUUAGUUCUCUAUUUUUUCAACAUAUACACAAAUGUUGUUCUACUUCAACAAUAAUUUCUAGUUCCUUAACUCUUUCUGGACAACCAACUGAAGAUUACUAAGACAUUUUCUAACCAGCUGUAUCUAGGACCGACUCAGACAUCAUGAAUAUUUAGAAAGUUUGGGCUCGUUUACUUCAAAGGUGAUUGCAGUGUUCUGUCUUAUAACCUGUUUAACUGCUUUCAGAAACAAGUUUAACACAACCUCUUCUGCAGAUUUUCCAGCUGAACAGUGUCAGCUUAAGGCCUUGCAGAAACCCUUUCUUGCUGUCACUCAUUUCCCAUCCUAUGAAAUAACUCCAAUUGCACUAGAACGUCACCCAGAUGGACGGCUUCUUCCAUACUCUGGAUUAUGGAAAAAAGAGAUGUUUCUGCUCAGAUUUUCUGGUAAGGGAAGGAGUAAAGAAUAUGUCCUAGUGUAACACCAAACCUCAUGUGAGGAUGCUCAGAAUGGCAUAAAGAAUGGUAGGGAUUAACCAUCUGAACACAUGGAGAGUAUUUAGAACAGGAUCCAGCAAACGGUAAGUAAGAGUUUAAUAACAACAAUUAUAAUCAUUAUCAAUAGCUUCCUUAGUUGUAGUGUAAUAAUAUAAGGAAGAUAUAACUCCUACAAAGAAAAAAAAAAGACAGAAAAGCAGGUAAGAGAAUCAAGAGGGUUAUCGUUAGAAGAUACUCUAUAUAGAGUUUUCUGUGUUGUAUUUUUCCUGUGGACCUGGACACAUUGUAGUUAGCAUUGGGUCUCCUCUCAUUGCCAGCUUCUGCUUUUGCCUGCCCUAACCUUGAAGUAGUAGCAUUUUGUCAUAUCCCUGAAAAACAGAGACAUAAAGGAGACUGCAACGGUCAUAAUUCUCCUAUAUCAGGGGACAACUUUGGAUAUAAGUAUCAAAACCCUCCAGGACUGAAUGCCUGACAGAGGCCAAACCAAGCUUUGUUAAUAUAGAGGUUACCUAAGAGACUCAUAUGUUGUAUUUCUGACCACUUACUAAAAAUACAGAUCUGAUAUGUGUGUUCACUCUAUAAUAUUUUUGUCCUCAGCCACAAUUGUUUACUUUCCA
rnacentral:lncRNA from 1 species